rnacentral:lncRNA from 1 species
AAUCUUCACCAAACUAACAAGCAAUCAAAAGCUUAGUCACUUCCUUCCCUCUUUAAUCAAUGUUAACCAAAACUUUUGCCAAACACACGUAAUAAACUAGAAUGCAAUUAAGCCAAUGGACAUAAGGAUUGAUCAAGAGGGUCUUUAAAUUGAAGACCAUGAGGUGAAAAAAGGGGGAACCGAUUGAGAGAGGAAAUAGAGAAGGAAAAAACAAAGAAAGGAGCCAAAAUAAUAGAAAAGAACAAGUUUCUCUUAAUCUCUCUCGCCACCCUCUCCAACCACCACACUCAGCAUUCAAUCCAUCAUCAUCAUCAAAACAAAAACAAAUGCCAUAUGAAAUAUUUGUUUGAGAGAGAAAGGAAAUCAUAAAAAAAUAAGAUAGGAGAAGAAGUAGGAGCUAGCUACAGCAUCACUGCAACCACACACUGAUCCAACAUCGCAACUUCCACCAUUAGCAAAUCAUUCUCUCUUGCUAUCCACUCUGGCGACCUCGCUCUCCACGCCAUCGUCGUUUUAACUUUAAACUUACCGCUGACAAACACUUCCACCAUCCCAUCACCUUUGAUACGCCAGCCACCACAAGCACCUCCGUCAUCGUACAGCGGUAGUAGCGGAGCCAAGAAUUUUAACUAGUGGAGGCACCAUAUAUAUAAUUUGUAACAUUAAAUAUAUAUUAUAUUUCUUAUUUUCAAUCACAAUAAAAACAUAUUUCUGUAUAUAAGUGACUAAACAAUCAUUUCGUCAUUGAUCACUCAUGCUUUUCUCUUAAAGUUGUCGAUCAAUCACUUGAUAGAACAAUUGAACUUGAAAGGUAUCAUCCAUAUUUGAAACGACAACUUCAUGUUGUUCGCAAAAUAAUGAAACUUCAUGGAGCAAAGAAUCUCAACCACUAUACCUUAUACUCUCUCCAUCCCUUAAUAAGUG